rnacentral:rRNA from 1 species
UACAGAGGUCUCAAGCGUUGUUCGGAUUCAUUGGGCGUAAAGGGUGCGUAGGUGGCGCCGUAAGUCAGGUGUGAAAUUUCGGAGCUUAACUCCGAAACUGCAUUUGAUACUGCGGUGCUUGAGGACUGGAGAGGAGACUGGAAUUUACGGUGUAGCAGUGAAAUGCGCAGAUAUCAGGAGGAACACCCGUGGCGAAAGCGGCUCUCUGGGACGGUACUGACGCUGAGACGCGAAAGCGUGGGGAGCAAACAGG